rnacentral:rRNA from 1 species
GUCCUACGGGGGGCAGCAGUUGGGAAUAUUGGACAAUGGAGGAAACUCUGAUCCAGUGACGCCGCGUGAAGGAAGAAGGUCUUCGGAUUGUAAACUUAUUUUAUCAGGGAAGAAAAAAAUGACUGUACCUGAAGAAGAAGCACCGGCUAACUACGUGCCAGCAGCCGCGGUAAUACGUAGGGGGCAAGCGUUAUCCGGAUUUACUGGGUGUAAAGGGAGCGUAGACGGUGAGACAAGUCUGAAGUGAAAGCCCGGGGCUCAACCCCGGGACUGCUUUGGAAACUGCCUGACUGGAGUGCUGGAGG